UACGUAGGGGGCAAGCGUUGUCCGGAAUCAUUGGGCGUAAAGAGCGUGUAGGCGGCUCGAUAAGUCUGCUGUGAAAGUCCAGGGCUCAACCCUGGAAGGCCGGUGGAAACUGUCGGGCUAGAGUCCGGAAGAGGCGAGUGGAAUUCCCGGUGUAGCGGUGAAAUGCGCAGAUAUCAGGAGGAACACCAAUGGCGAAGGCAGCUCGCUGGGACGGUACUGACGCUGAGGCGCGAAAGCGUGGGGGAGCAAACAGG
rnacentral:rRNA from 1 species